rnacentral:rRNA from 2 species
CUGGCUGUGUGCCUAAUACAUGCAUGUCGAGCGAAGGUAGCAAUACCUUAGCGGCGAAUGGGUGAGUAACACGUACUCAACGUACCUUUUAGAUUGGGAUAGCUAACGGAAACGUUGGAUAAUACCAAAUACUUAUUAGUUUCGCAUGAAACUAAUAUAAAAGGAGCCUUUAAAGCUCCGCUGAAAGAUCGGGGUGCGCAACAUUAGCUAGUUGGUGAGGUAACGGCCCACCAAGGCGAUGAUGUUUAGCGGGGUUGAGAGACUGAACCGCCACACUGGGACUGAGAUACGGCCCAGACUCCUACGGGAGGCAGCAGUAGGGAAUAUUCCACAAUGAGCGAAAGCUUGAUGGAGCGACACAGCGUGCAGGAUGAAGGUCCUAUGGAUUGUAAACUGCUGUGGUAAGGGAAGAAAAAGUAACUUAGGAAAUGAAGUUACCUUGACGGUACCUUAUUAGAAAGCAACGGCUAACUAUGUGCCAGCAGCCGCGGUAAUACAUAGGUUGCAAGCGUUAUCCGAAAUUAUUGGGCGUAAAGCGUCUGUAGGUUGUUUGUUAAGUCUGGCGUCAAAUUUUGGGGCUCAACCCCAAACCGCGUUGGAUACUGGCAGACUAGAGUUAUGUAGAGGUUAGCGGAAUUCCUUGUGAAGCGGUGAAAUGCGUAGAUAUAAGGAAGAACACCAUUAUGGCGAAGGCGGCUAACUGGGCAUACACUGACACUGAGAGACGAAAGCGUGGGGAGCAAACAGGAUUAGAUACCCUGGUAGUCCACGCCCUAAACGAUGAUCAUUAGCUGAUGGAGAAUUCGUCGGCGCAGCUAACGCAUUAAAUGAUCCGCCUGAGUAGUACGUUCGCAAGAAUAAAACUUAAAGGAAUUGACGGGGAUCCGCACAAGCGGUGGAGCAUGUGGUUUAAUUUGAAGAUACGCGUAGAACCUUACCCACUCUUGACAUCUUCUGCAAAGCUAUAGAGAUAUAGUGGAGGUUAACAGAAUGACAGAUGGUGCAUGGUUGUCGUCAGCUCGUGUCGUGAGAUGUUCGGUUAAGUCCUGCAACGAGCGCAACCCUUAUCCUUAGUUACUACCAUUAAGUUGAGGACUCUAAGGAGACUGCCGGAGUAAUCCGGAGGAAGGUGGGGACGACGUCAAAUCAUCAUGCCUCUUACGAGUGGGGCUACACACGUGCUACAAUGGACAGUACAAAGAGAAGCAAAAUGGUGACAUCAAGCAAACCUCAAAAAACUGUUCUCAGUUCGGAUUGAAGUCUGCAACUCGACUUCAUGAAGUUGGAAUCGCUAGUAAUCGUAGAUCAGCUACGCUACGGUGAAUACGUUCUCGGGUCUUGUACACACCGCCCGUCAAACCAUGGGAGCUGGUAAUGCCCGAAGUCGGUUUAUAAAGAAACUGCCUAAGGCAGGACUGGUGACUGGGGUUAAGUCGUAACAAGGUAUCCCUACGAGAAC